AGUGAACGCUGGCGGUAGGCCUAACACAUGCAAGUCGAACGGCAGCACAGUAAGAGCUUGCUCUUACGGGUGGCGAGUGGUGGACGGGUGAGGAAUACAUCGGAAUCUACUUUUUCGUGGGGGAGAACGUAGGGAAACUUACGCUAAUACCGCAUACGACGUACGGGUGAAAGCAGGGGAUCUUCGGACCUUGCGCGAUUGAAUGAGCCGAUGUCGGAUUAGCUAGUUGGCGGGGUAAAGGCCCACCAAGGCGACGAUCCGUAGCUGGUCUGAGAGGAUGAUCAGCCACACUGGAACUGAGACACGGUCCAGACUCCUACGGGAGGCAGCAGUGGGGAAUAUUGGACAAUGGGCGAAAGCCUGAUCCAGCCAUACCGCGUGGGUGAAGAAGGCCUUCGGGUUGUAAAGCCCUUUUGUUGGGAAAGAAAAGCAGCAGGUUAAUACCCCGCUGUUCUGACGGUACCCAAAGAAUAAGCACCGGCUAACUUCGUG
rnacentral:rRNA from 1 species